GUGCUCACUUCAGCAGCACAUAUACUAAAAUUGGAAUGAUACAGAGAAGAUUAGCAUGGCUCCUGUGCAAGGAUGACAAGCGAUUUCAUGAAGCAGUCCAUACUUAA
ensembl:snRNA U6 U6 spliceosomal RNA